AUGUGUUUUAUUGGAUUUGACCCAAAUCUGUGGUACUCAGUAAUGUGUUUUAUUGGAUUUGACCCAAAUCUGUGGUACUCAGUAAUGUGUUUUAUUGGAUUUGACCCAAAUCUGUGGUACUCAGUAAUGUGUUUUAUUGGAUUUGACCCAAAUCUGUGGUACUCAGUAAUGUGUUUUAUUGGAUUUGACCCAAAUCUGUGGUACUCAGUAAUGUGUUUUAUUGGAUUUGACCCAAAUCUGUGGUACUCAGUAAUGUGUUUUAUUGGAUUUGACCCAAAUCUGUGGUACUCAGUAAUGGGUUUUAUUGGAUUUGACCCAAAUCUGUGGUACUCAGUAAUGUGUUUUAUUGGAUUUGACCCAAAUCUGUGGUACUCAGUAAUGUGUUUUAUUGAAUUUGACCCAAAUCUGUGGUACUCAGUAAUGUGUUUUAUUGGAUUUGACCCAAAUCUGUGGUACUCAGUAAUGUGUUUUAUUGGAUUUGACCCAAAUCUGUGGUACUCAGUAAUGUGUUUUAUUGGAUUUGACCCAAAUCUGUGGUACUCAGUAAUGUGUUUUAUUGGAUUUGACCCAAAUCUGUGGUACUCAGUAAUGUGUUUUAUUGGAUUUGACCCAAAUCUGUGGUACUCAGUAAUGUGUUUUAUUGGAUUUGACCCAAAUCUGUGGUACUCAGUAAUGUGUUUUAUUGGAUUUGACCCAAAUCUGUGGUACUCAGUAAUGUGUUUUAUUGGAUUUGACCCAAAUCUGUGGUACUCAGUAAUGUGUUUUAUUGGAUUUGACCCAAAUCUGUGGUACUCAGUAAUGUGUUUUAUUGGAUUUGACCCAAAUCUGUGGUACUCAGUAAUGUGUUUUAUUGGAUUUGACCCAAAUCUGUGGUACUCAGUAAUGUGUUUUAUUGGAUUUGACCCAAAUCUGUGGUACUCAGUAAUGUGUUUUAUUGGAUUUGACCCAAAUCUGUGGUACUCAGUAAUGUGUUUUAUUGAAUUUGACCCAAAUCUGUGGUACUCAGUAAUGUGUUUUAUUGGAUUUGACCCAAAUCUGUGGUACUCAGUAAUGUGUUUUAUUGGAUUUGACCCAAAUCUGUGGUACUCAGUAAUGUGUUUUAUUGGAUUUGACCCAAAUCUGUGGUACUCAGUAAUGUGUUUUAUUGGAUUUGACCCAAAUCUGUGGUACUCAGUAAUGUGUUUUAUUGGAUUUGACCCAAAUCUGUGGUACUCAGUAAUGUGUUUUAUUGGAUUUGACCCAAAUCUGUGGUACUCAGUAAUGUGUUUUAUUGGAUUUGACCCAAAUCUGUGGUACUCAGUAAUGUGUUUUAUUGGAUUUGACCCAAAUCUGUGGUACUCAGUAAUGUGUUUUAUUGGAUUUGACCCAAAUCUGUGGUACUCAGUAAUGUGUUUUAUUGGAUUUGACCCAAAUCUGUGGUACUCAGUAAUGUGUUUUAUUGGAUUUGACCCAAAUCUGUGGUACUCAGUAAUGUGUUUUAUUGGAUUUGACCCAAAUCUGUGGUACUCAGUAAUGUGUUUUAUUGGAUUUGACCCAAAUCUGUGGUACUCAGUAAUGUGUUUUAUUGGAUUUGACCCAAAUCUGUGGUACUCAGUAAUGUGUUUUAUUGGAUUUGACCCAAAUCUGUGGUACUCAGUAAUGUGUUUUAUUGGAUUUGACCCAAAUCUGUGGUACUCAGUAAUGUGUUUUAUUGGAUUUGACCCAAAUCUGUGGUACUUAGUAAUGUGUUUUAUUGGAUUUGACCCAAAUCUGUGGUACUCAGUAAUGUGUUUUAUUGGAUUUGACCCAAAUCUGUGGUACUCAGUAAUGUGUUUUAUUGGAUUUGACCCAAAUCUGUGGUACUUAGUAAUGUGUUUUAUUGGAUUUGACCCAAAUCUAACACUUUGUAUUCCAGACAAAAAGUGA
ensembl:lncRNA